rnacentral:rRNA from 1 species
GUUGAACGCUGGCGGCAGGCCUAACACAUGCAAGUCGAGCGGAUGAAGGGAGCUUGCCCCUGGAUUCAGCGGCGGACGGGUGUGUAAUGCCUAUGAAUCUUCCUGGUAGUGGUUGAUAACGUCCGGGAACGGGCGCUACUACCGCCUACGUCCUGAGUGAGAAAGUUGGGGAUCUUCGGACCUCACGCUAUCAGAUGAGCCUAGGUCGGAUUAGCUAGUUGGUGGGGUAAAGGCCUACCAAGGCGACGAUCCGUAACUGGUCUGAGAGGAUGAUCAGUCACACUAGAACUGAGACACGGUCCAGACUCCUACGGGAGGCAGCAGUGGGGAAUAUUGGACAAUGGGCGAAAGCCUGAUACAGCCAUGGCGAGUGUGUGAAGAAGGUCUUCGGAUUGUAGAGACCUUUAAGUUGGGAGGAAGGGCAGUAAGUUAAUACCUUGCUGUUUUGACGGUACCAAGAGAAUAAGCACCGGCUAACUUCGUG